CCGUGCUCUCAAGGCCAUGGGGAUGGAGAGCCCAAAAAGAAGGAUUUUGUUGCCUGUCUCCCAAGAAAGUCGCUCCUGGCCACCAGCACAGGGAGUGAUGUAAAAGAGCUUUGUGUGGCUUGUCAGCAGGAAGGCUCCAGCUGGGACUGGGAAUGGCACGCACGAGGAUUUAUGGUGAUGAAUGGGGUGACCCCUCUGGGAGCCAGCAGAAAAGGAGGAGAAGGCUGCAUCUUCCACCCCCUGAGUCCUGGGAAGAUGAAGAGUGAAUCCAAAAGAGGUUAUGCCUCGUGGAGAUGGGCUCUCUGUCCAGCAAGUGGGGGAUUCCCAAGAGAAAGAUGGUUUUCUGUGGAAAGAAGGUCACAACCAGCACCAGAGUGGGACUGGAGGGAUUGGG
rnacentral:lncRNA from 1 species